rnacentral:rRNA from 1 species
UUGAACGCUGGCGGCAGGCCUAACACAUGCAAGUCGAGCGGUAGCACAGAGAGCUUGCUCUCGGGUGACGAGCGGCGGACGGGUGAGUAAUGUCUGGGAAACUGCCUGAUGGAGGGGGAUAACUACUGGAAACGGUAGCUAAUACCGCAUAACGUCGCAAGACCAAAGUGGGGGACCUUCGGGCCUCAUGCCAUCAGAUGUGCCCAGAUGGGAUUAGCUAGUAGGUGGGGUAACGGCUCACCUAGGCGACGAUCCCUAGCUGGUCUGAGAGGAUGACCAGCCACACUGGAACUGAGACACGGUCCAGACUCCUACGGGAGGCAGCAGUGGGGAAUAUUGCACAAUGGGCGCAAGCCUGAUGCAGCCAUGCCGCGUGUGUGAAGAAGGCCUUCGGGUUGUAAAGCACUUUCAGCGGGGAGGAAGGCGAUAAGGUUAAUAACCUUGUCGAUUGACGUUACCCGCAGAAGAAGCACCGGCUAACUCCGUGCCAGCAGCCGCGGUAAUACGGAGGGUGCAAGCGUUAAUCGGAAUUACUGGGCGUAAAGCGCACGCAGGCGGUCUGUCAAGUCGGAUGUGAAAUCCCCGGGCUCAACCUGGGAACUGCAUUCGAAACUGGCAGGCUAGAGUCUUGUAGAGGGGGGUAGAAUUCCAGGUGUAGCGGUGAAAUGCGUAGAGAUCUGGAGGAAUACCGGUGGCGAAGGCGGCCCCCUGGACAAAGACUGACGCUCAGGUGCGAAAGCGUGGGGAGCAAACAGGAUUAGAUACCCUGGUAGUCCACGCCGUAAACAAUGUCGAUUUGGAGGUUGUGCCCUUGAGGCGUGGCUUCCGGAGCUAACGCGUUAAAUCGACCGCCUGGGGAGUACGGCCGCAAGGUUAAAACUCAAAUGAAUUGACGGGGGCCCGCACAAGCGGUGGAGCAUGUGGUUUAAUUCGAUGCAACGCGAAGAACCUUACCUGGUCUUGACAUCCACAGAACUUUCCAGAGAUGGAUUGGUGCCUUCGGGAACUGUGAGACAGGUGCUGCAUGGCUGUCGUCAGCUCGUGUUGUGAAAUGUUGGGUUAAGUCCCGCAACGAGCGCAACCCUUAUCCUUUGUUGCCAGCGGUUAGGCCGGGAACUCAAAGGAGACUGCCAGUGAUAAACUGGAGGAAGGUGGGGAUGACGUCAAGUCAUCAUGGCCCUUACGACCAGGGCUACACACGUGCUACAAUGGCAUAUACAAAGAGAAGCGACCUCGCGAGAGCAAGCGGACCUCAUAAAGUAUGUCGUAGUCCGGAUUGGAGUCUGCAACUCGACUCCAUGAAGUCGGAAUCGCUAGUAAUCGUAGAUCAGAAUGCUACGGUGAAUACGUUCCCGGGCCUUGUACACACCGCCCGUCACACCAUGGGAGUGGGUUGCAAAAGAAGUAGGUAGCUUAACCUUCGGGAGGGCGCUUACCACUUUGUGAUUCAUGACUGGGGUG